rnacentral:tRNA from 1 species
CGUAGCCAAGCGGCCGAAGGCGUCUGGUUGCAACCCAGAGGGCGCAAGCCCGCGUCAGUUCGCUCGGUGCUGCGCACCGGACGCAGCCUGCUGCGGGCCGCCA